CUUGAGAGAGACAUUUUCCAGGCAAGUUUCUACUUAGUGGGUGCCCAGAUGAUAGAUGUGUAGGGAACUGACUGGUAGUGGAAAAUGCAAAUAGCCAUUCUCAAUUCCCUACUUAUUUCUCAUAUGCCAGAUACACCUAUGGGAAGCCUGUCCCAGGACUUGCAACUGUGAGCCUGUGUAGAAAAUAUUUUCCUGUUUCUUAUUGUGCUAUCAAGGAAAUCUGUGAGGAAUUCAGUCAACAGCUCAACAGCAAUGGCUGCAUCACCCAACAAGUACAAGCAAACAUGCUCCAGAUUAAAAAUACAGGCUUUGAAAUGAAGCUCCGAGUGGAAGCCAGGAUCAGAGAAGAGGGAACAGGUGUGAGUACUGAAUGAAUAUGGAAAUAUAACAAUAAACAUUAAUUUACUUCCCAUAACAAAAUAAGGGUCAUUUGUAGGAAAGAAAUUUUAGAACUAAAGUAACUUCUAAAAGUACUGACUUUUAUAUUUUUUAGAUGUGGUAGUCACUGCAAAUGGGAUCAGUGAAAUCACAAACGUUGCAUCCAAACUCAUAUUCGUGAAAGUGGAUUCACACUUUAGACGAGGAAUCCCCUUUUUUGGACAGGUAGGAUAUGUUUUAAUUCACAGGUAAGCAAACUGUCCAGAUGCACCUAAGCCCAGGGUACAGUGUUGUAGCCUACAUUUGGUUAGUAUUACCAGUUAAUUAAUAUGACCAAAACCAUGAAAGCAAGGAGAAAUACUUUCCUUUCUAAAUAUCACUGAUGAAAUGUACAGACACACACUAAACUAUUAUGAGAAUCAGAGAUCUAUUUUAAUAUGUAGCUAAUAAAGAUACUUAAUGUAAUGUGACUUAGUUAUUAUAUCAAAUUUCUUCUUUCAUUCAGUUUAGAAUAAAUGAUAUUUCUGUCAUGACUCAGCCAGCAUCAGAAGUUUCAGAG
rnacentral:lncRNA from 1 species